rnacentral:piRNA from 1 species
UACGAAACAGCGUAGACCUUGCAGACCGA